rnacentral:rRNA from 1 species
CCUACGGGGGGCUGCAGUAGGGAAUUUUCGUCAAUGGGCGCAAGCCUGAACGAGCAAUGCCGUGUGAACGAGGAAGGUCUUCGGAUCGUAAAGUUCUGUUGAAGGGGAAAAAGAGCGGAGAGAGGAAAUGGUCUCCGAUUGAUAUUACCCUUCGAGGAAGUCACGGCUAACUACGUGCCAGCAGCCGCGGUAAUACGUAGGUGGCGAGCGUUAUCCGGAAUGAUUGGGCGAAAGGGGUGCGUAGGCGGCCUGCUAAGUCUGGAUUGAAAGGUACCGGCUCAACCGGUACAGGCUCUGGAAACUGGCGAGCUAGAGAGCAGGAGAGGGCGGUGGAACUCCAUGUGUAGCGGUAAAAUGCGUAGAUAUAUGGAAGAACACCAGUGGCGAAGGCGGCCGCCUGGCCUGUUACUGACGCUGAGGCACGAAAGCGUGGGGAGCAAAUAGGAUUAGAUACCCGAGUAGUC